rnacentral:lncRNA from 1 species
GUUCGAUGUUCAAAACUGAUCUGCAAGCAAAAAACUUUGCUGAUGUGUGCUUGUAUCAUAACUCCUCAAGAGUUUUCAAGAAAACGUUACAGGUGUACAGCACACACACACACACACAAAAAAUCAACUCUUAGUCAAUCGGAUGUGAUGGAUCACAUGGUCGGAAGAGUCGUUGUCCAGGAAAUGAUGCUUCGUCGGAAUGGAAACUUUAGUGCGGGCCACCACAACAGAGACACCCUGUGAGUGUGUGUAAACAUCAUGAUGCCUUCUCAAAAACCUCACACUGAGUGCGGUCACACACUCACCUCUAAGUUUUCCAUCCACAAGAUGUCAGACCAGUAUUUUAUCACCGGAUGUUUUUCAAGGUCAGGAGUAAAAAAUAGAUACUCUGUCUGUGGUCUGUAUGUCUUUCCAUCUGGCUGUGCACCUGCAGACCUGCGGAGCUGGUCCAGGAGAGUCGUGUGGCCUAUCAGCUGACUUGUGUUUCAGCACAAAAGGAUGGAUUUGGAAUAGCAUACUAUUCUUAAUGUUUCUGACAUGUCUGUAUACAUAUAUAGUGACACCUAGUGGUGUGGAUGUAUAUUCAUUCAAAUGCAAAAGAUUUCCAUUAACAGUGCCAUUUGUAUAAGCUAAAGUCAAAGCUAUGAUUCAGUGUACAAAAGUGUUCACUAACAGACAAGUCACUGGUCAUACGAUCUCAACAUGGUACUCAAUGUAAAAUAAAAAAGCUUUUAUUAAGCUACUGUUUGUGUUCAUUUCAUGUAAAUGCACAUCUUGUUAAAAACAUCACUGAGUGCAUCUUUAAAUUUCUGUAAUACCAUAAGGAAUUAUUCUGAGGACAUGAACACAGUUUUUCAGUAAAAAGAAUAAUCAUUUAUAAACAUGCUAGACUCAAAAAUAGUUGUUUUUUUUAGAUUUAGACUUACAUACUUAAUCAUUUAUAAACAUGCUAGACUCAAAAAAUAGUGUUUUUUUUUAGAUUUAGACUUACAUACUCCUUGUUGAAAGCGCGCGCGCGCACACACACACACACACACACACACACACACUCCUGCAGGAAGAGUGGGUGUCUGGGAGCAGCUGCAUGGGAGAGAUGUCGAAUGUGGUUUCCUCCCAAUGAACCUUUCCUCCCUAUGUCUUAUCAGUCGAACAGAAAGGUGAAUAUGCUGUGAAAUGCAACCAGGUUAGUAACAUUUAUCAGUGAGAUCUCUGUCAGAGAAAUAAACAGCUGAAUUUCCACAGGAGAGCUCCUAGAAA